UAGACCAAAGGCAACCCCACGUGACCUCACUACAAACAUAACGGUUUAAAACUUCUACUGAUCAUUUUUUAGGUUAUGUUUAGCGGAAUUGUAAGGAUAUUAGGUUAUAUUUUAUCAACAAACUGAACAGUCAACAUGUUUAAGAUGUAACAAAGUACAGUAGAUACAAAAUUAUUCAUUACUUGGUAGGUUUAUUCUUAUAAAUGAGACAUAACAUUGAUGAACUCGUUUAAAACAGAAAGUUGAAACGGUUAAUAGUAUGAUUAGGCUAUUCAUCACUGUACCAGAGAAUAACAGGCUGAUUGAGCUAUGGUUGAAACUUGCUCUUGGGUUUAUCUUGCUAGUUUAUGGCUGGUGAUAACAGUAUCAAGUAUCUGGUCACAGUCAACUUCAAAUCAGGUAGAAAGAUUCAAGAAGUCCAAUCGCCUUAUGAUGAUUAGUUUGAUCAUGAGGUUCUCUACCUGGGGAUGAACAACUUGCCCGUGAGAGAGAGAGGCCAGUAACCAUUGCAGAGCGGAUGAUCAAGCUGGUGAAGAAAAUCCACCACA